CAUAAAAACCAUUGGUUACAUCUGGUUCUGUGAUUGGACAUAAAACGAACUGUCACUGGAAUGACGUCACGGCGGCCGUAAAUUGUCAACAGAGGACGCGCGCAGCAGACGAGUAGAGCUCGGAGGACUUAGUGAAGGAGACGGACUAACCAGGAGAAGACCGUGCGUAUUUAUCCAAUGAUUGGAUCGCCAGAUGAAGAGUGAGACCGCGAAUUAGCCAGACAUACGCACUUGGAGGGAAGAUAGAACUGAAGACUACAAAAAGGGGAUUCCAAAAAUAUAUUUCUUCAUCUUGGACCUAAAACACAAGUGUCUGAUGAAGCACGCCAUCACUACCCGCUCACCAAUCCGCCAUGAGUCUGAGGCAGCAAGAUAAAGUAGUCUACGAAAAUGUGAACCGGAGGUCGUUUUCUGUCUUUGGUUAUCUAGCUGUAUGAGUGUUAAAUACCUGUCAUAAAGCUAGAUAACCGAAAGUAGAAAUUACUUCCACAUUCUUGUUCCGGUGGAAAAUAAGGCCUAUGAUAUGCCUAAAACUAGGUUAGGCCUUUUGACAAGUUUCGUCAAGUUCCAACUCAAAGGCGACUCAUUCACAACAUGGUGUGAUCAAGGAGCACAAAUAGGGGACAGAAUCAUCAAAAAAAGCGAAUGAGGAGGAGAAUUGCCACACAAUACCCCACCCCCUUUACCCACUGGCCUCUAAUGCCAUCUGUACUGCAAAAUGGGAGACAAGAGACGCUGUGCCUAUGCCAAGAUGGGGACAAAGCCAGAUCUCCAGAGGAUGGGCACGCUGAGAGCAGAGAGAGGAGCCAUCUUGGGAGACAUUGCUGCAGCACCUAAGAUGGCUGGGCUGGCAUACAACGUUUGGAUGUGGAGUGGUCAGUGGGGAGGGAGAUUCUGCAUACUCUAUUGGUGUUCCUGGUACAGUAUGGACCAAACCACUAAACAACAAUCAGACUAUUGGAAACCAUCUCUGUCACUGUCAUACAAAGUUUAUACAACCAGAGGACCACGACAAGGAAGAGGGAAGAUUUGUGCAAUUUAGUUUUAUUUGUGUGUUUUUUUGUUAGCAAUAGGGUAAUAGUGUAAUGAUUUGAUUUUUUUUAAAAAUUGUAUUUAUAUACUACAAUGUGUUUCUAUUUGUCUUUGUUACUUCUUUUUAUAUUUAUUAUUUGAGUCUUAUUUUUGUAUAUAUUUAUAUAGUUUUAAAUGCUAUGAUUAUUUGUGUUGUUCCAAAUGUCUGAAUAAAAAUGACAGUUAGUGCAGAAUGGUGCUGCUUUUUUUGGGGGGGAGGGGGUUCAACCAGGGAGCCAUUAAAGCUAGAACCGCCACUGCUUAAGAGAUACGUUGGCUCCCCCCCCAAAAAUAAUAUCAUUCCAUAGAAGAAUGGGGGUGGGACAAUAUCUGAAAAUACUAAUCUCAGCACCCAGAACCAAAUCACAAGAGACUAGAAAAUAUUGGAGAAAUCUGAUAUUUCUUUCAUGGAAUACAUUCACACUUUGACUUUCACUCUUGAUUGAUUUUGUUGUUCUUUUACUGAUUCAAUUAAAUAAUCAUGAAAAACAUUAUGAACCCACUUAUGCUCUCAAAUCACAAGCUGUAUUUGAUGUAAAAGUACUGAAAAUGUAUGACACACAAGCUUGACACACCUGUAUUUGGGGAGUUUCUCCCAUUCUUCUCUGCAGAUCCUCUCAAGCUCUGUCAGGUUGGAUGGAGAGCAUGGAUGUACAGCUUUGUCCGGGCUCUGGCUAGGCCACUCGAGGACAUUCACAGACUUGUCCCGAAGCCACUCCUGCUUUGUCUUGGCUGGGUGUUGUCUUUUUGGAAGGUGAACCUUCGCCUCUGAGUGUUCUGGAGCAGGUUUUUACCAAGGAUCUCUCUGUACUUUGCUCAGUUCAUCUUUGCCUCAAUCCUGACUAGUCUCCCAGUCCCUGCCGCUGAGAAACAUCCCAACAGCAUGAUGCUGCCACCACCAUGCUUCACCAUAGGGAUGGUGCCAGGUUUCCUCCAGACGUGACACUUGGCAUUCAGGCCAAAGAGUUCAAUCUUGGUUUCAUCAAACCAGAGAAUCUUGUUUCUCAUGGUUUGAGAGUCCUUUAGGUGCCUUUUGGCAAACUCCAAGCGGGUCUGGCCACUUUACCAUAAAGGCCUGAUUGGUGGAGUGCUGCAGAGAUGGUUGUCCUUCUGGAACUCUAGAGCUCUGUCAGAGUGACCAUCAGGUUGACCAAGGCCCUUCUCCCCCGAUUACUCAGUUUGGCAAGGAGACUAUCUCUAGAAAGUCUGGGAGUCUUGGUGGUUCCAAACUUCUUCAACCUCAUGGCUUGGUUUUUGCUCUGACAUGCACUGUCAACUGUGGGACCUUAUGUAGACAGGUGUGUGCCUUUCCAAAUCAUGUCCAAUCAAUUGAAUUUACCACAGGUGGACUCCAAUCAAAUUGUAGAAACAUCUCAAGGAUGAUCAAUGGAAACAGGAUGCAUCUGAGCUCAAUUUCGAGUCUAAUAGCAAAUGGUCUGAAUACUUAUAUAGAGAAGGUAUUUCUUUAUUUUUUUUCUUCUAAAACCAGUGUUUUGCUUUGUCAUUUUGGGGUAUUGUGUGUAGAUGCUGGGGAUUUUUUCCCAAUCCACUUUAAAAUAAGGCUGUAACAUAACAAAAUAUGUAAAAAGUAAUUGGGUCUGAAUACUUUCCAGAAGGCACUGUAUGUGGAUGACAUUGCUGUAUGUGUAUGUAUGUGUGUGUGCAUGUACAUGUACGUGUGCAUGCGUGUACGUGUGCAUACAUGCAACUAUGUGGAUGACAUGGCCGUUUACAAACCCUGAAGAAAGUGCUUUCGCAUUAUUUUCAAUAGAAUUAUACAAUUUGCAUUGUACAAUGAUAAUUUGUGUCUUGCUUCAUGUUUAUCAAUAUUUUAAGUGAAGGCAAAUGUAGGGAACCAAAAUAACACAUUGGGUGGGGAGUAGGACCAAGGACACCUGCCCCAAACUGGAAUUAGAAAAAUCGCACAGGAGUAUGGUGAUGAAAACAAUUGUAAUCUACCAUGCUGCAAAAAAAACUUUGAAGCUGGCAAGUGUCAACUAAGCAAGCAACCUAUAAUUUAGCCUUCUUGUUUAAGUACAUUGGUACAUUGGAAAUACAAUGGGUUAAGCUUCAGCUCCUUUCCUUUGCAUUUGGGCUUAUAACAGACUAAUUUAUGCAGGCGGGAGUAAAAAAACAAUUGUGGACAAGACAGACGGUGCGUUCUGGAAGUUGUUCUUAUCAAUCAGGUUGUCUGGUAUUUUGACAGAUUCACACGCAAAUAUGUGAGAAAGAGUCUCCGCGUGACCCCACCGCCAGCUGCCAUUAGGCUACUGAAUGGCAGUGACGUGAGGACCAGACGUUAGAACGUGCACGGAAUCCGCCCCAUUUCCCGGUGUGUGGGAAACAGUAGGCCUUCCAAGCACCCGCCUUACUAAAUUUCCCCUGAUAUUAAAAUUGGCAAUUGCAGUGUGGCAGGGUAUUUUGUACUGUGUUAAAACGUAUGCCUAGACAACAUACGAAAAAGUGCUAGAAAAUACGAAUUCAGUAUUUUUUGUGUGAAUUUCUAUGCCUCAGACACGUGAUAAAAUGUCAAUUAGUAGGCUAAAUAUAAGGUAAUCGAAUAUUCUCAUAUUUAACGUUAUAAUUUCUGAAAUAGGGUAAAUCUGAAGUUAGAAUCGUGUUUUGAUGGAGUUGUUUACUCUGACAAGAGGCUGCUCCUAAUUCUUGAUUUAACAGACUUGAUUAGUGACACCAUUUUUUACACCAAAUCUGGAUUGGGAUUAUACAGUGUAGGUCUGAUUUGAUGGACCCUCCAAUAUCUCACCCUUGACCUCAAUCAGUCCAAAUUCAACAACAUGUGGACAGGAGUAAGGUCAAGAGGGGAUUAUUUCUUUGUGUUGUUAUAGUCAAAACAUGUUUGUUGGUGACAGAAAAAAUGUAGUAAAUUAAUGCUUAUCAUUGGUAUUGUUGAUAACACUUACAAAGUUGUCUAGGAUAUUGCUUAAUUUAUGUUGAAAAACUGUGCAAAUAUUGAUGUUUUGUUGGAGUGAAAUUAUUGAAAUACAUUGAAAUGUAAUACAAUUGCAGAACUGUUGAUUAUUCAUUUAGAUUUUUUUUUCUAACAAAUAUUUUCUUAAAUUGAUAAAUCAUGAUAUUUUCUUUCAUCUCCCAAAGACAGAAUUUACACAACUGCACAAGUAAUCUUACAAAUUGUGCAUUUACUGUGACAUUUCCCAUGUAUUUCACAUGUAUAAAAAUAUUUCCUGAAAUAUAAGGCAGCAAGCUCUCUUCAUCAUGAAUAUAAUGGUCUAUAUUGUAGUUUAUGAUCACAAGUGGAUGUAAUUUGUCUCAUUUGACUGGACAACAAAGGAAAACACAGAAUAAUUUAUAUAUG